CUUGCCUACGGGGGGCAGCAGUGAGGAAUAUUGGUCAAUGGGCGGAAGCCUGAACCAGCCAAGUCGCGUGAGGGAAUAAGGCCCUACGGGUCGUAAACCUCUUUUGCCGGGGAGCAAGGGCCGGGACGCGUCCCGGCCCGGAGAGUACCCGGAGAAAAAGCAUCGGCUAACUCCGUGCCAGCAGCCGCGGUAAUACGGAGGAUGCGAGCGUUAUCCGGAUUUAUUGGGUUUAAAGGGAGCGUAGGUGGAUUGUUAAGUCAGUUGUGAAAGUUUGCGGCUCAACCGUAAAAUUGCAGUUGAAACUG
rnacentral:rRNA from 1 species